AUUGAACGCUGGCGGCACGCCUCACACAUGCAAGUCGAACGGCAGCACGGGAGCAAUCCUGGUGGCGAGUGGCGAACGGGUGAGUAAUAUAUCGGAACGUGCCCAGUCGUGGGGGAUAACGUAGCGAAAGCUACGCUAAUACCGCAUACGAUCUACGGAUGAAAGCGGGGGACCGCAAGACCUCGCGCGAUUGGAGCGGCCGAUGUCAGAUUAGCUAGUUGGUGGGGUAAAGGCCCACCAAGGCGACGAUCUGUAGCUGGUCUGAGAGGACGACCAGCCACACUGGAACUGAGACACGGUCCAGACUCCUACGUGAGGCAGCAGUGGGGAAUUUUGGACAAUGGGCGCAAGCCUGAUCCAGCAAUGCCGCGUGCAGGAUGAAGGCCUUCGGGUUGUAAACUGCUUUUGUACGGAACGAAACGGUCCUUUCUAAUACAAGGGGCUAAUGACAGUACCGUAAGAAUAAGCACCGGCUAACUACGUGCCAGCCGCCGCUGUAA
rnacentral:rRNA from 1 species